rnacentral:rRNA from 1 species
UACGAGGGGGCAAGCGUUGUUCGGAAUUAUUGGGCGUAAAGGGUGCGUAGGCGGUUUGGUAAGUCUGAUGUGAAAUCUAUGGGCUCAACUCAUAGUCUGCAUCGGAAACUGCCGGCUUGAGUAUGGGAGAGGUGAGUGGAAUUCCUGGUGUAGCGGUGAAAUGCGUAGAUAUUGGGAGGAACACCAGUGGCGAAGGCGGCUCACUGGACCGGUUCUGACGCUGAUGCGCGAAAGCGUGGGAGCAACGGG